rnacentral:rRNA from 1 species
GAUGAACGCUAGCGGCAGGCUUAACACAUGCAAGUCGAGGGGCAGCGCGAUGUAGCAAUACAUUGGCGGCGACCGGCGCACGGGUGCGUAACACGUAUGGAACUUACCCUUUACUGGGAGAUAGCCCGGAGAAAUCCGGAUUAAUAUCCCAUAAUAAACGAAGUGGCAUCACUUUGUUUUGAAAGCUCCGGCGGUAAAGGAUGGCCAUGCGCACGAUUAGCUAGUAGGUGAGGUAACGGCUCACCUAGGCUACGAUCGUUAGGGGGCCUGAGAGGGUUAUCCCCCACACUGGUACUGAGACACGGACCAGACUCCUACGGGAGGCAGCAGUGAGGAAUAUUGCGCAAUGGAGGCAACUCUGACGCAGCCAUGCCGCGUGCAGGAAGACGGACCUAUGGUUUGUAAACUGCUUUUGAACGGGAGAAAACCCCCCUACGUGUAGGGGGCGUGAUAGUACUGUUAGAAUAAGCAUCGG